CACAUAACUAUCAUAUUCUCCACUCAAAACCUUUGAAUCAACAACUUUUAAGCCUUCAGGGGCAUUGAUUGACUUAGAACCUUCCCCUUGAUCAGGAUUCCCUAAAAAUAACUUGUUAAUAUUAGAAAAUCUUAAUGACUCACUUCUGUGAUCAACCCUAGCACAUAAAACUCGAGCUUUUGUACCAGUAGGGACCUUUGAUUUACACGAAUUUGAGCUUUUAUCAACUAAUUUCCAC
rnacentral:misc_RNA from 1 species